rnacentral:rRNA from 1 species
GGCAAACGGGUGCGCAACACGUACAGAACCUUCCUUUAAGCGGGGGAUAGCCCAUAGAAAUGUGGAUUAAUACCCCAUAGUAUAAUUGUCUGGCAUCAGAUGGUUAUUAAAGAUUUAUCACUUAGAGAUGGCUGUGCGUCUGAUUAGGUAGUUGGUGUGGGUAAUGGCCUACCAAGCCUUCGAUCAGUAACUGGUGUGAGAGCACGACCAGUCACACGGGCACUGAGACACGGGCCCGACUCCUACGGGAGGCAGCAGUAAGGAAUAUUGGUCAAUGGAGGCAACUCUGAACCAGCCAUGCCGCGUGAAGGAUGAAGGUCCUCUGGAUUGUAAACUUCUUUAUGUGGGAAGAAAUGCAUUCUUUAUAGAGUGUUUGACGGUACCAUAGGAAUAAGCACCGGCUAACUCCGUGCCAGC